AUACGUAGGGGGCGAGCGUUGUCCGGAAUGAUUGGGCGUAAAGGGCGCGUAGGCGGCCGCUUAAGUCUGGAGUGAAAGUCCUGUUUUCAAGAUGGGAAUUGCUUUGGAUACUGGGGGGCUUGAGUGCAGGAGAGGUUAUCGGAAUUCCCGGUGUAGCGGUGAAAUGCGUAGAGAUCGGGAGGAACACCAGUGGCGAAGGCGGGUAACUGGACUGCAACUGACGCUGAGGCGCGAAAGUGUGGGGAGCAAACAGGAUUAGAUACCCUGGUAGUCCACCCUGUAAACGAUGAAUGCUAGGUGUAAGAGGUAUCGACCCCUUUUGUGCCGGAGUCAACACAAUAAGCAUUCCGCCUGGGGAGUACGGCCGCAAGGUUGAAACUCAAAGGAAUUGACGGGG
rnacentral:rRNA from 1 species